rnacentral:misc_RNA from 1 species
GUUCGUACUUGCAGAACCCUCCACGACUCGCGAUAAACGGCAGCGCAGCACUGUGUCGAGUGUCGAGUGUCGAGUCCAGCGUAGCAGUCAUAAGCCAGUCGAGUUAUUAAAUGUUGCUGAAAACGCAGUCAACAGAAUAUUAAACCCAAAAUCCAACUGUUUGUUUACCCUGUAAAAUUCAAGAAAAAUAGUACGCGUUUCUUUACUUAUUUGCAAGCCCACCAUUGGGCCAUUUCAAACUGGCACAUCAAUUUUGGUUUUCCUAUCCGCCACCUGGCGCUGGCGGCGGCUCCUCAACUCAGCUACAAAUUCUAGCAAGAUCGUAUAUGUAAAACUUGCCACACACACACACACGCACACACAUAAACAUUCAUAUACACACACACACACACAGACACACUGAAACACAUGUUAGCAUAGCUGCAAGUGUAUUUGUAUAUUCAGUGUUUCCUCGACUCGAAAGCAAAACAAAACAGAACGCUAAACAAACAACAACAGCAAUAAA